UUAGAUACCCUGGUAGUCCACGCAGUAACCGAUGAAUGCUAGUUGUCCGGGGCGAUUGAGUUUUGGGUGACACAGCGAAAGCGUUAAGCAUUCCACUGGGGGAGUACGCCGGCAACGGUGAAACUCAAAGGAAUUGACGGGGGCCCGCACAAGCGGAGGAACAUGUGGUUUAAUUCGAUGAUACGCGAGGAACCUUACCCGGGCUCAAACGCAGGAGGGAUGUUUUUGAAAGGAGGCAGCCAGCAAUGGUCUCCUGCGAGGUGCUGCAUGGUUGUCGUCAGCUCGUGCCGUGAGGUGUCGGCUUAAGUGCCAUAACGAGCGCAACCCCUACUACAGUUGCCAUCGCGUGAUGGCGGGCACUCUGUGGGGACUGCCUGCGCAAGCAGUGAGGAAGGCGGGGAUGACGUCAAAUCAGCACGGCCCUUACGUCCGGGGCGACACACGUGUUACAAUGGCAGGUACAGCGGGAAGCCACCCGGCGACGGGGCGCGGAACCCGAAAACCUGUCUCAGUUCGGAUUGGAGUCUGCAACCCGACUCCAUGAAGCUGGAUUCGCUAGUAAUCGCGCAUCAGCCACGGCGCGGUGAAUACGUUCCCGGGCCUUGUACACACCGCCCGUCAAGCCAUGGAAGCCGGGGGUGCCUGAAGUGCGUGACCGCAAGGAGCGCCCUAGGGUAAAACCGGUGACUGGGGCUAAGUCGUAACAAGGU
rnacentral:rRNA from 1 species